rnacentral:lncRNA from 1 species
CCUCCGAGCAGAUCUAAUGCAAUUACAUUAACAGGAUGCAAUCAAGAAUUGCAACCGAGCGUCCCUUACCCCCCCGUCGGCCCUCCCCCCUAAAUACACCUGUACCCCUGCUUCAGCUAGUUCCCUGGCAUGAGCCACCGCUCCACCCGGGAGCGGAAUCGUCUCUGUGCCCCGCCCGCCGGGCCCACCCGUCCACUUAGGAACGCCGGGGCCACCCGGGCCCCUUAGCACUGAACCCAAGUCCCGCACCUUCCUGCGCGCUGGUGCUCCCCCGUUCAAAGGACCCGCUCGGGACCCGAGCCCGCACCGUGCAGCACCGACGCCCCUGGGGGCAGGCGCUUGUCCCGCGGCUCUGCAGCUGGCCUAGGCAGCCAGGCGCAGGGCAGAAGGAGGGGACCCGGGUGAGUCGCGCCAAUGGGGGUUCACGGCGGGACAGCCCUCUUUCCGGCUCCGUCCCAGGCUGCGCUGGCUGCCCGGUGCGGCUGCCCGCGAGGGAGAAAGGGAGCUCCCAGCCCGCACACAGUGGAAGAGACGCUCGCCAGGUCUGUCCAAGCACGCGCGCUGCCGGCUGCCCGGGGAGAGCAUUUUAGGAAAAAAAGAGCAAAUACUAAACCACAAAAACUUUACUGCUGCCAAGAGCUAAAGCGAUCGAGGCGCAGCAAAGCUCCAAAUCUGGGCAAGACCGGAGCAAGAUGAGACGCGGGGAUGGGGAGGAGCAGAGCAGUGCCGUGGCCCCCGCAAGUGCGGGUGGCGUCUCGGGGAUGUCAGAGCCGGGUCCGCCCUGCUCCCGGCCCGCGCUUACCUUGGCGGCUGCAUGAGCCCCUGCGGCCCGCGGGGGGUGGCGCUGGCGGGGCUGCGGGCGGAGAGGGGUGCCGGGGCGCUGCUCGUCGGCCCCGGGGCAAGGUGGGAGGGGCUCGGCAGGCGCUGGUCCCCCGCCGCCCCGGCCGGCAUCAGCAGCGGCCCGGGGCACGCCGCCCUGCUCCCGGGCUGCAUGCCCGCGAGCGCCUGGAGGAGCCGGCCCGGGAGCCCACGGCUAGUGCUUCCCCAGCCCAGCGGCUUGGGCGGCGCAGCCCGCGCUCAGGAGACAACUGCGAAGUCGGGCUGCUCGGGCCAGCCCCCUCCCUCGCCCGGCCCCCGCCCGGCCCCCGCCCGCCGCCAGCCGCCCGCCGCCGCCGAGCGCGUUGCGAGGGAGGGGAUGGCUUUCGGAGGAGUGAUUCGUUCUUAACAUACAUUUCCCAGAGAAGUUCCCAGAAGAACAUUGGGGCCUUCAAACCCACUGAUCUUUGCUGAGUGAUGAUGGAGAUGUAGCUGGGUCCCCACACACAGCUGAAGGAGGGUACUGAUACCCCAAAUCAGGGCUUCUGGAACAGUGGUUGGCUUUUCCGAAAACCUGAGGUUCAUUGUCAACUAACGGGCUGUUCCUUACUCUGGAGGGUUUCUCUUUUUGUGUGUGUGCAUCCGUAUAUGUGCCUGAGUUAAAGUGCUUUUCUUAAAAAGUGCUAGUAGAAAGUAGUUGUUUUAAAAAUACCCUUUCUUGGCACAAUAAAGAGCUGGCAAAUGUGUAUGUAUUUCUCCAUUUUUUUUUUUUCAAAAAAUCUGUGAACUCCCCAAAUCAUUGGAUCUACUGAUUUCAGGGAGAGGCUCUCCAUGGAAUUGUG